CACGUAGGGCGCAAGCGUUGUCCGGAAUUAUUGGGCGUAAAGAGCUCGUAGGCGGUCUGUUGCGUCCGCUGUGAAAACUCGGGGCUUAACCCCGAGCCUGCAGUGGAUACGGGCAGACUAGAGGUAGGUAGGGGAGAGUGGAAUUCCCAGUGUAGAGGUGAAAUUCGUAGAUAUUGGGAAGAACACCAGUGGCGAAGGCGGCCGGCUGGGGGUGCCCUGACGCUGAGGCGCGAAAGCGUGGGGAGCGAACAGG
rnacentral:rRNA from 1 species